rnacentral:misc_RNA from 1 species
CUUCCUUACAGGGUAAUCCUGCUGAUGAGCCUGUGAGAAUCAGGCGAAAAGGCAA